rnacentral:rRNA from 1 species
AGCAGCCGCGGUAAUUCCAGCUCCAAUAGCGUAUAUUAAAGUUGUUGCAGUUAAAAAGCUCGUAGUUGAAUUUCGGGGUUAGUAGGUUGGUCAUGCCUCUGGUAUGUACUGGUCUCACUGAUUCCUCCUUCCUGAUGAGCCGUAAUGCCCUUAAUUUGGUGUUGCGGGGAAUUUGGACUGUUACCUUGAAAAAAUUAGAGUGUUUAAAGCAGGCUCACGCUUGAAUACAUUAGCAUGGAAUAAUGAAAUAGGACGUUUGAUCCUAUUUUGUUGGUUUCUAGGAUUGACGUAAUGAUUAAUAGGGAUAGUUGGGGGCAUUAGUAUUCAAUUGUCAGAGGUGAAAUUCUUGGAUUUAUUGAAGACUAACUACUGCGAAAGCAUUUGCCAAGGAUGUUUUCAUUAAUCAAGAACGAAAGUUAGGGAUCGAAGACGAUCAGAUACCGUCGUAGUCUUAACCAUAAACUAUGCCGACUAGGGAUCGGAUGAUGUUAAUUUUUAUGACUUCAUUCGGCGCCUUACG